GCACCAAAUUUUAGUUGAAAGUCUGGCAGGACUGGGCUUUGGCGAGAGAAUAUAUGAUGUUGACAUUGAGAAGUAUCCAAUUUUGCCAUGCUAAUAAUAAACAAGUAAUCAUGCGAUGUUGCUCGUACAAUUAGGGAUUAAUAAUACUCGUGAUGUUUGGAAAUUUGCCAAAUUGGACUCGCCCCGGCGGCUCGUCCAAUUUUGGCAAAAUUUCCAAACAUCACUCGUACUAUUAAUCCCUAAUUGUACUCGCCAUCGCAUGAUUA